GGAAGGCCUUUGGGUUGUAAACCUCUUUUCUCAGGGAAGAAGAUCUGACGGUACCUGAGGAAUAAGCAUCGGCUAACUCCGUGCCAGCAGCCGCGGUAAUACGGAGGAUGCAAGCGUUAUCCGAAAUUACUGGGCGUAAAGCGUCCGCAGGUGGUCUUUCAAGUCUGCUGUCAAAGACCAGAGCUUAACUCUGGGCAGGCGGUGGAAACUGAGAGACUAGAGUUCGGUAGGGGUAGCGGGAAUUCCCACUGUAGCGGUGAAAUGCGUAGAUAAUGGGAAGAACAUCGGUGGC
rnacentral:rRNA from 1 species